GUGCAAAGCACAUUUACAACAUAGACAACAAAAUAACAUUUCAAAAAGCACUUCUACAUAAAAAAAAAGGCAAAUAACAAAUUGACAACAAAAUAACAAGUCUGCAACAAAUUAACAAGUGGCUCUUGACGGAAAGGGAUUGUCUGAAAUACCGGAAGUAACUCAACAAUGUUUCUGGCCCAAACAAAGCGCUAGCGGAAGAGGAGCGAAAGCACACGGAUAACACCAGCUAUGUGCGGUCGGUUGUAAUGUUAGAUCGCACGACCGGCAAGGGAAUAAGCUUGAAAUGGUUUAUCUUUUCAUUCUUUCCCCACCUGGAAGCAACAUGAGGCAGCUCAUGUAUCAGAUGUUACCAAAAGAAGACGUCUAGUCUGGAUAGCAGCUGUGAGACGAGCUGAUAUCCAGCUCUCUUCCAUCUCCAAAUAUCUGUUGGUGCUCCAGACAUUUUCAUUCCGGCAAACCAGCCUAUGAAAUGGAUGAAACACAUCGUGACUGGGUUCCAGCGCUACACAUGGGGCACUCCGAAAUCCCUGCUUCAAACAUACCGCCAUGCCAAUCAGAUUACUUCUUCCAUGUGAGGGUGAAGAUGUGACCCUUCUGGAUAAGAUGGUGAAGCAAGGGCGUAGAUUUGGCAUGGACGGAAGGGACAUGUCCCCACCAAUAAUUUGAUCUCUUCGAGUAAAGAAAAACAAACCCGAUAGAAAGAGGAAAAAAAAAAAACGAUCUUUCAACGUCUCAUUCACCCAGCGGUGCAGAAAGAUUUAAAUUACGUUCGCUACUGGAGUCCUACCUCAUGUGACAAAUAUGGCCAAUGUGAUUGGCUGUGCCUUUCGGGGAGCUCUGUUUAGUUUUAGCAGCGGCAAGCCUGCGCUGCGAGGACCUGCAAGGAGGAGAGGAGGAUGGCAGCAAAAAGGAAGAACCUGGAUAUAAGAAAGUAUUUUUCAAAGAAACCUGUGACAGAAGAACCAACACAAAGCUCAGAGAGCAAUGGCGAUACAAGAUCACAGGUGAAAUUGGAUGAUGACUUGGUGGUUCAUUACUGUAUUUGAAGCACAUGUGUGACUGCAUGUAUUUGGAAUGUCUCACUGUUAUUUAUCAGGUGACAGAGGCAGCUCUGCCAUGUUGUAGCUCAGACAGAGGUGAAGAGGCAAGGUCACAGGUGACUGACUGAUGAUUUGGUGCUAUAGAUUAACUAGUAUUUAUUAUCAUGACAAUUGUUAGGCUGCUGAUGUAAAUUGAUUCAUUAGUGUACAUUUGACAAAGAAUCUGAAUCGACAAGUCUCACUUUUUAUAUGGCACGAAUCAAUGUGUUAUUUUAUCAGGUGGCAAUAUGUCCUAGUGCAGUCAGAGGGGAAGAGCCAGGGCCAAAGGUGAGGCACAUCAAGCACAUAAUAAUAAUUUUGUGGUAAUCUUAGAUGAGUAGUUUUAUGGACAAAAACCACCAGGUCAUUCAGUGUUCCCUUAGUGCUAAUGUAUAAGAGAUGUUGGUGUACUAUAACUGAAGUAAUGUUCUUAAGUCCUUAAAGUCAUAUUCUUUUAUUGUCAUGACUGUAUUUGAGGCUGUUUUUAUUUUUGUACGAUACCUGAUUUAUAUGGAAUAUGGCUGAAGUAAACUAAAGUCUAAAAUACUUAGUCAUUUGUUUAAUAGUAAUUUAACAUUAUAUAAUUCACAUAUAAAACUAUGAAUUGUAAUUUUAAAAGGUUUAAAAGCAUGUAGAAUAGCAUAUGUAGACAAGUAUAUUUCUCCUUCUUUUUAUCAAGAAGCAAAGACAAAAAGGGGGGGGGGGGGGGGGACAGGGCAGGGUUCGGUGGUUGAAUCAUCCGUCCCCACCAAUGCCAAAACCAAAUCUACGCCCUUGUGGUGAAGGUUUGCUGCGUUUUGGUGAACAGUGUGGUAGUAAAACCAGGGAAAAAUGAAACUUCCAUCCAUCCAUCCAUUCGCUUCUGCUUAUCCUUUUCAGGGUUGCGGGGGGCGCUGGAGCCUAUCCCAGCUGUCAUAGGGCGAGAGGCGGGGUACGCCCUGGACAGGUCGCCAGUCUGUCGCAGGGCUGAAAAAUGAAACUUGCGCCUGUUAAAUAUUCUUAAGUCUUGCGCUGUAUAAAUAGCGGUAAUUUUUCAAAAGAUACAGUAAAUAAUGUUAGUAGUUGGUGAUAUCAUGUAAACGCUGUCAUGAUUUUGUGUAAACAUUUUGUCAUUUGUAAACUAUAAAUGACAUUGAUUCUACAUUGUAACUGAUGUGAUGUUCUAUAAAGUGGUUUUAAUAAAAAACAAAAGGCAAAA
ensembl:lncRNA